GCAAGGGGACAAAAUAUUGUUUCCAAGAAAAGUUCCCUCGUCACCUUCUCUUUGACUAGCCUUUGUGGUUUGUGAAAGGAAAGCUAAAGAAACCCUCAACAUUCUCUCUCGUCAAUCUGGUAAAACUUUUUAAACAGAAAUCCUCACUCUCUGAGCCACCGCCUCCGUUUCCUAGUCAGGUUGGACUUGUUAGCAUGGGACUACAUAUCUGGUGAAGUUGCAAUUGGUUCCUUGGAUAAUGUUCUAUUGAUGGAGUUUUUGACAGUUAUAUGCUCAAAUGAUAUUUGUACAGCUGAACAGGUGGAUUUUUCAAAACUUUGGAAAAGAGUACAGGGAGUAACGUGUGGGUACCACUGCCGUGACUUCUUUUUUAUGAUUUAUCUCAAUAUUUUCAGAAAUUCUUUCUGUUUCAUUUUGUGAUAUUUUUUUCCUGGUUAAACUAAGUUCUGGAUUACAGGGUACUACACGGGGAUGUUAGAGAGGUGCAGGAAGUGGAGUAUUAAGUUUUAUUUGCACAAUGAACAUGAGAUGCACUGAUAUAUGGAUGUUUAUGCCUGACCGUAGUCGCUUUACUUAUUUGUUUGCUGUCUGAUAUUUAUUUAUGCCUGACCAAAUGUAUCUUUUUUCUCUUUUUCUAUUUCUCUGAGUAGUUUUGUUCUUCUAAAUAGAUUAUGUGAUCAUUCAAAGUGAAUAAAGUCAGAAAUCUAGUAUUUUUUGCAAUAAAUGUGAAAUAAAUUACUGCAAGUUGAUUAUUGACUUCUGUCAGUUUCUAUGGUUGGAACCGGAGUUGGAAGUGAAUUUGUACAAUGUCAUAGACGUGCACCUAUGUGGUAGGUUUAAUAUGUAGAGCCCUUGAUCCUAAUUUGAUUUAAUGAAACCUGAUGUUUUGUCAAAGAUUACAUAAUGGGCUGUGAAUAGGUUUGGCGUCAAGGGUGAUCUCUUUUUAGCUCUUCGAGUUUGAGGUGGCUUCCUUCCUUUUACCCUAUUUUUGUUUACUCUCAUUGUUCGUUUGGUUUGUUUUUCCUUUUAAUCUCUUGGUACUUUUUAGCUCUAUGGAGUGGCUUUGUCUAACUCUUAGAGGUAAGUACUAUCCUUUUUGGUUAAGUUGAAAAAAUUAUUAAAUUUUGUUUAUAACUUGAGAUUUGAUUCUUAUCCCUUUCUUGGGUUUUUGGUCUCCCUCGCUUGAAUUAAAAUUUUCAGAUAUUUUUGGUUGUUUGGAAACAGGCGUAUUUCUUUUCGAUGGAUAGCUGAGCUGUCUGCCAUCUCUGUUUGUCUCAUGCUGACUUGGGCAUGCCAGCGUGGGGUAAUUGAGCGGUGAGCAGAUAUGGUUUUCCAUCAUCCAGAGAGAGGCCAUUGGAUGCUCAAGUUUGACUAGAAGUCUAAUAUGAUUGGGCGACGGGUUGGGCAAAGCAAAUUCGCAUGAAUUCCUCAAGAAUCAAGCCAACGUGAAAUGGUAUAUGGAUGGUCCUGGCUGGUCCGUCAAAUGUUACAACUUUUCAGCCUUUGUCCUUUUGGAUGGGACCCAUAUGAAACGAAUCAAAACAUCGACGGAGCUCUUUAUUUUAACAAGAUAAUGGCAAGCAAGGCAUGGGACUGGCUUUUAUCACGAUUCUCCGCAUAUUCUCAACCACUGGAUCUGUUCCACGGUCCUCUUGUUGUCAUUGCUUUAUUUAUUUCUCUAGAUUUGCUCUGAUCUCAAAGAUCUUAUAAAAUUGAUUUUUGCUUGGUAGAGUUUCAAGGGAUUGUACUAUUCCAAGGCCGCGACCUUUUCCUUUUGGCGGAAAAGAAUCUUUCGCGGGUACGUGGUAUCGACAAAGACAUGCGUUUGUGAAUGGUCCAUAAACAAAGAUGGAUAUUUGUGUAUUAGAGAGGUGUAACUCCAUGCCCCUAGGCCAGGCAUCUUCUAGGGAAAGUCAAUUCACUUUCCGAUACGCAACUUUGGUCAUCAUAUUCAUGGGCAUUUGAUUUUCAUUUUCCAUGAUUCUGGUCCUGGUCCUGGUCGGAUUGUCCGCGUUAAAAUAUUUACAGCUUAUGACGCUGGAAGUUGCUUUGCUUUUAAGAAAUGAGAAACACAAGGUAAAACAUACCAAGAGUGGAACGCUGGAAGCCGUCUCCAGGGGGGAAUAAGAAUAUUGAAAAUAAAAUAACUUGGACUUAGACUUGGAAGAAACACACCAGCUUGUUGCGCGAAAAGCAUGAAGUUUCUUAUUAGCAGAUAUGGAUUAUAUUUAAGAGUAAAUUGUAAAUCAUUUUUAUUUUUACAUUUUAAAUUGUAAUUUGUUGAUUUUUAUAUUUUUAAA